UACGUAGGGACCAAGCGUUGUUCGGAUUUACUGGGCGUAAAGGGCGCGUAGGCGGCAAUUCAAGUCAUCUGUGAAAUCUCCGGGCUUAACUCGGAACGGUCAGAUGAUACUGCUUUGCUAGAGUGCGGAAGGGGCAAUCGGAAUUCUUGGUGUAGCGGUGAAAUGCGUAGAUAUCUGGAGGAACACCGGUGGCGAAGGCGGCAUCCUGGACCGGCAUUGGACGCUGAGGCGCGAAAGCCAGGGGAGCAAAGCGGG
rnacentral:rRNA from 1 species